rnacentral:rRNA from 1 species
GUACACUCCUGCGGGAGGCAGCAGUGGGGAAUUUUGGACAAUGGGCGAAAGCCUGAUCCAGCAAUGCCGCGUGUGUGAAGAAGGCCUUCGGGUUGUAAAGCACUUUUGUCCGGAAAGAAAUCCUUGGCUCUAAUACAGUCGGGGGAUGACGGUACCGGAAGAAUAAGCACCGGCUAACUACGUGCCAGCAGCCGCGGUAAUACGUAGGGUGCGAGCGUUAAUCGGAAUUACUGGGCGUAAAGCGUGCGCAGGCGGUUUGCUAAGACCGAUGUGAAAUCCCCGGGCUCAACCUGGGAACUGCAUUGGUGACUGGCAGGCUAGAGUAUGGCAGAGGGGGGUAGAAUUCCACGUGUAGCAGUGAAAUGCGUAGAGAUGUGGAGGAAUACCGAUGGCGAAGGCAGCCCCCUGGGCCAAUACUGACGCUCAUGCACGAAAGCGUGGGGAGCAAACAGGAUUAGAUACCCCAGUAGUCCCA